UGAAAUUAUUUACAAUUUUAUUUAUUUAUUUGAACAGAAAGCAAUAGAAAAAUUUGUUUAAAAUUACUAAAUUGUCAGUACCAACGCUCUGAGGAACGGACCAGCGCAUUGCCGAGUCUGCAAAAUACUUGGUGCUCAUACUGGACAAGAAACUGAGCUGGCCAGGAGAAAGGUGCGUACGGCGUCCACUGACUUUUAGACCUACAGGAAAUGGGGCAUGCGUUGGCUGACAUCGGUUAGACCUAUACUUCUCUAUUGGGUUGUUGUCUGAUGACCAGUAGUUGAGAAAAAAGUCAAUCAUCUCCAAAUGCUGCUGGCGAUGCAUUACGGCUACAAAAGGUGUUCGGCCAUACUAGCAUCUUAAGAGCAUCCAUCUCCAAAAAAAACGGAUUACCGCUUAUCAUUCAUUGCCUUAACAUCAGAUUUCAAGUUGGUUAUCCCGGAUAGAAACCUUUGGGACAGGACAGCAAGCGCCGACUCGGCUCAUUUUUGUACGGACGGGUCAAAACUUGAUAACUGUGUUGGUGACGGAGUCUACUUAAAGGAUCUUUGUGUCUAUAAAUCCAUUCGCUUACCGGAUCACUGCAGUGUUUUUCAAGCGUAAUUGGUGGCUCAAGGGUGCUCUCAGAAAAUCGGAUAGCCAGACUUUAUUACGAGCCUUGGAGUGUGUAAAAGUAAAAUCUGAAAUCGUAGAGGACUACCGCAGAUUGCUUAUCGUGAUGGCUAAGCAGUUCUCUCUGAACCUUGUAUGGGUACCUGGACGGUGUAUUGAGCUGGGGGACGAGCUUGCAAGGAAGGGAACUUCUCUUCCACUAUUGCCAUCAUGGAAGUGCUUGGGUAUGCCGCUCUCUACUUGUAAGCUCAGUGUAGAGAUAGAGAGUGUUUCGCUAAGGAUGCUAAUUUAAGAUGGAAAGGUCUUAAUGGAUUGAAGUGGCCAAAGCAUUAUGACCAAAAUGGAACGGAAGAAGUUAAAGAGAAGUUUGCAGAGUAGGUCUAUGGGGUCGGCAAACAGUAGAGACCUGUUCGACAUAGCGGCUGCCGGAAUGCGUCGACUGCUCAGCUUUGUAAACUUUACACACUGGUUUGAUUAGAUGGCAGGGGUAUAAGGAUCCGCAGUGGUAUUAUAAUGAGCCCAUUUGGGGUCUAGCUGAACUGAUGCCCAACAAACCCUUCAUCCAACCAACGGAGAAUCAGUUUCCAUCUUAUGUAUAAUGUAUUCGUUGAUUUAUGUAAAUAUAUAUUCUGAAAACUCAUAAGUACAUACAUACCUAUGUCUAUACAACCCUAAAAAGCAAAAAUCACCUUACACCCAAAUAAUAAUAAAACAACAAAAAUUAUAAAUGUAUUGCAAUAUAAUAAAAUUAACCCAAAUUGUCAAAUUUUA